CGAACUUGCGUGCGUUCGAUCAUUUUCUUUAUGUUUCGAAUUUAGCCCGAGGUUUAGUUGGACGAUAUCGAUUUGUCGAAGACAUCAACCGCAUCGAUCAUGCAGUUGCGAGGCGGUGUCCCAAUGACGAGAAACUGAAUCGGUGGGGAUGUGUUGAAAAGUCAAAUGACAGUGCGAGAGUACUCUUUUUCAAAAGUUGGUAGGUUUUAAUUACUCUGAAAAACUCUUACAGUGCGCGUCUGUAUGUGAAAUGUGAGCGCGCAAAUAAACGAUUCGACUGUCAUCAUAAAAGGAUCCGUCGUCGUGACGAAAUGCGGAACGUCAAACGUCUUUAUCGGGAUUAAGCGGGACUAUUAGAUUAACUUCUGCCGCUGCGAAUUCGACACACAUUAUGAUGCGUCAACCUGUUCGGCAAGCUGCUCGAUGAUUGCCAGAAAUCAUUGGAGACGACAUCCAAUUGAGAGAAGAUGAACGAGAUGGAGCAGAUUCCUGAGGGUUGAGAUUGGUCGCCGAUCCUCGAGAGAUGACCGGUCGGAGGA